rnacentral:rRNA from 1 species
CCUAUCACAUGCAAUCGAACGAAGCACCUUUUAAGAUUCUUCGGAUGAUUGAUUGGUGACUGAGUGGCGGACGGGUGAGUAACGCGUGGGUAACCUGCCCUGUACAGGGGGAUAACAGUUGGAAACGGCUGCUAAUACCGCAUAAGCGCACGAGAGGACAUCCUCUUGUGUGAAAAACUCCGGUGGUACAGGAUGGGCCCGCGUCUGAUUAGCUGGUUGGCAGGGUAACGGCCUACCAAGGCGACGAUCAGUAGCCGGUCUGAGAGGAUGAACGGCCACAUUGGAACUGAGACACGGUCCAAACUCCUACGGGAGGCAGCAGUGGGGAAUAUUGCACAAUGGGGGAAACCCUGAUGCAGCAACGCCGCGUGAGUGAAGAAGUAUUUCGGUAUGUAAAGCUCUAUCAGCAGGGAAGAUAAUGACGGUACCUGACUAAGAAGCUCCGGCUAAAUACGUGCCAGCAGCCGCGGUAAUACGUAUGGAGCAAGCGUUAUCCGGAUUUACUGGGUGUAAAGGGUGCGUAGGUGGCAGUGCAAGUCAGAUGUGAAAGGCCGGGGCUCAACCCCGGAGCUGCAUUUGAAACUGCGCGGCUAGAGUACAGGAGAGGCAGGCGGAAUUCCUAGUGUAGCGGUGAAAUGCGUAGAUAUUAGGAGGAACACCAGUGGCGAAGGCGGCCUGCUGGACUGUUACUGACACUGAGGCACGAAAGCGUGGGGAGCAAACAG